rnacentral:rRNA from 1 species
AACCCAAAGGAUUUGACGGUGCCUCAUCCAACUAGAGGAGCCUGUUCUAUAAUCGAUAACCCACGCUAUACCUAACCAUUUCUUGCUAAUCAGCCUGUAUACCUCCGUCGAAAGCCAACCUUGUGAACGCUACAGUAGGCCUAAUGAUAUUACAUCAACACGUCAGGUCAAGGUGCAGCUCAUGAAAUGGAUGAAAUGGGCUACAAUUUCUAAUAUAGUACAAACGGAAAGUUAUAUGAAAUUAUAACUAAAAGGUGGAUUUAGUAGUAAAAGGAAAAUAGAGAGUUCUUUUUAACCAAGGCCAUGAGACACGUACAUACCGCCCGUCACCCUCUUCAAUAGUUACCCAUACGUCUAUAACUCACCAUCUGCGCCUUAGAAGAGGCAAGUGUACNNGGUAAUGUCUGGAAGUGUACU